rnacentral:rRNA from 1 species
UACGUAGGAGGCGAGCGUUAUCCGGAAUGAUUGGGUUUAAAGGGAGCGUAGGUGGGAUGUUAAGUCGGCUGUGAAACUUUGGAGCUCAACCUCAAAAUUACAGUUGAAACUGGCGUUCUCGAGUGCGGCAGAGGCAGGCGGAAUUCCUGGUGUAGCGGUGAAAUGCUUAGAUAUCAGGAAGAACUCCGGUGGCGAAGGCGGCUUGCUGGAGUGUAACUGACGUUGAUGCUCGAAAGUGUGGGUAUCAAACAGG